UCGAACCGCUGGUGCCGAUUUAAUAGUGUGCUCUUGCUAUUGGUGUGAACAAAGAGGGUAGUUUCGGCAUAGUGGCUCUUUAAAACGAUCGAUGACGGGAGGAUGACGCGAGAGAGCUCUGAAGAUUCUGAGUUGGGCUUGUGGUGUUUUGGGUCGACGAGGGAGAUGUUGGCGGUGUUCGAUCGGAAGGUCGCGAAGUGCCCGGAGGGGCUGAGGAGCCCGGGGGCGGAGGGGGGCGACGGGGGACGCAGCAUGUUGGAUCACUUCCUGGCGGCGCGAGCGGGGGCGGUGGCCAUCAACCUUGGCUCUUCUGGGGGCUUGGCUUACACGUCGAAGAAGCAGACUCCUCUGCUUCCGAGGUAACUGUAAUACAACCAAAAUCAAAUCUUGAUGAACGGCGAGGUGAUACAUUCGAACAAAAGCUUCGAGCAAGCUGUCGAAUCCCUUGUUCGAACAUCCCAUUCCGUGAGGUUUUAACAGUCUUCCAGUCUUCCGAUAUGUUCUUUUUGUGGAUAAUUAUAUGAUAAUUACCUUCAAUUUUGUUCUUCUUUCCUGUUUUGGGUGUGUGUAAGCAUUAAUUCUUUAUACGACCAAUUAAUUCGCAUGGAAGCUUCAUAUAAUCAUGUUUCGACGCAGGAUUCAUUUCAAAUGGUCAUCUUGGUAAAGGAUGAUUUCGUUCGUCUGAUCUGUUUGUUCUUAAAGCAUCGGAAUCUUCUGGCAAAUGCCCUUCGUACUCAAAACUACACCGUGUGAAUUGGAUUUGUUGUGAAUGAUCCUACUGGUAGACGCGUCCAGUAUUUCUUGCUAAUUUUGAGGUCAAAUUAGCUUCUCAGACAUAGAUAUGGCUCAUGGGAUUGUUGGUGUAAAUGUGACGGAUGCAUCAAAAGGGUUACUAACCAUUAGAAUUAAUUUUCUUUUAUUAAAUUGAUCAUCAAGGUUUACUAGUAAAUCUAUUUCCGGAAUACAUUUGUAUUUUUCUUUAUUGUCUUCUGGUAGGCAAUUUAUCCAAUGAGAAAGGGUUAUAAUCUUCUUGGCCUUUGUCUUUGUUACUUAACAUCGAGAGAUUACUGAACUUAUCAUUGAUUUCCUGGAAUUAGUUUAAUGUUGCCACCUCCAUGGAAGUUAUCUUCUUUUGAUUGUUGCAUGGUGCCACUUAUAUUUUAUAAUGCUGAUGCUGCUUUAGUGUAGAAGGUAAGCCAAUCUCUACCCCUGGUAGAGGCAGAGAUAAGGUUGUGCACAUUGAUCCUCCCUGGAUUGUGUACAUCAAUCCUCCCUAGACCGUGGACUGUUAGAAAGAUCGUCGCAACAGGUUGUUUUUUUCUUUAUGCUGCCUUGUCCAUUUGGAUAACUUGAUAGACCAGAAUAAUGGGAACUUGAUAAAGGAGAGAAUCUAUUUUUUUGGUCAUGUAACAAAUGAGAGAAAUGGCGAGAAUUGAUUUCUUUCCAAACCCUCCUUUCUUUGCAAGUGGAGGAUGAUGUGAUAGAAUAAAAUCUUUUAAGUGAUUCUUUAUCUCCAGAGAGGAAGAGGUUUAUUGCCCUUAGCUUUUCCACUUUUCAUCUCUGCUGUGAUUACUCUUUCAUCCUCUACUCUUUUAAUUACUAAAAUUGGGGUGCACAGGAUGCUGGUGCAUCAAUAGCUAUGUUGCAUUGAUAGCUUCGAUAACUAUUUAAGUAAACUCUACAAAAAUUAUUACCGGCAAAAUGUAUUUUUGUGUCAAAUUAAGGCACAUGUGUACAUGAUCAGAUGAUGGUGCUGAUGCAUUCCCAAAACCAUUUUGACUCAAUAGUUGGAUAAUUUAAUUAUCCUUUGCGAAAUACUGCAAGGAUAAAUGGAAAUUGCAUCUCAAAAUCAUGAUCUUCUCUUCUUUCUUUUUUUUCCAUUUAAUUUUUUUCUCGUGCUUAUAUGUCAUGUUGGUGGAGAUGCUGGCUAGUAGUUACUAUUUUCUCCUCUUUCAUGCUUGAAAGGUUGAACAGAAAUGUGUGUAACUUCAAUUUCACCUAUCAUAGUUUCAUCUUUCCUAAUAAUUCUGCCAUUAACGAUGGUGGUAGUCUGCUAGUAUAAUAAUUCUUACUACUUUUAAAAAAAAAUCCUUUAUUUUAAUUUUUGUCAUUCUUUGUAUCCAAAUAAUCUUUUUGCUUUAAUGCCUUCAUAAAGCUCUUACUUAUAGUAAACUUUGCAAGUUCUGCUUUUCUCCACCUUCCUGGUUGCAUCUAGAACCUCUUUUGUUAUGAAAAAACAUUUUUAGCUUAAAGGAACAAGAUCUAGCAGAAUCAGUUUUAUGUUUCUUAGUUAUUUAGCAUGCAACAGAAUGGUAAUAUUCUUGGUGGUUCUUUUGCAGAUUAUUCGCUGUGGUGGAUGAUAUAUUUUGCUUAUUCCAAGGGCAUAUCCAGAAUAUAACUUCUCUCAAGCAACAGUAUGGAUUAGGCAAGACUGCUAAUGAAGUAAUUAUUGUCAUUGAGGCGUAUAAAACACUGAGAGAUAGAGGACCAUUCCCUGCAAGUCAAGUUCUGAGAGAUCUAAAUGGAAAAUUUGCUUUCAUUCUGUUUGAUAGCUCAUCAAACACUACCUUCAUGGCCAGCGUGAGUAUUCAAAUUAAUUAUCCUCUCCUGCUUUCUAUUUCUUUGUUUUUCAAGAAUGAAAAUUAUAUAGCGCAUACUGUGCCACUGGAUAACAACACAAUCUUUCUAUUGGGCACAUGAUGCCUUCACAGACUUGAACAAUGAAACUUCAACUUUUCAACAGCUUUAAAUUUCUCCAGUAGUUUGUCUUUGGCUACUUCUCUAUUACUUUACUCAAGCAAUUUCGCUUCUUGGCUCCCACCUUCUCCUUUUUUCCUUGUCUUUGACCAUGUGAAGAGGGGCACUCCCUUGUGACUCUUGCUUUUCUGAUUUUUUGCACUUACCAACUUUGUGUUUCAAUCUGUAGUGAGAAACAUUCCCUAGCAACCUAUGUUUCCUCGUUUCAUUUUUGUGCACUUCCCAACAUUAUAUUUCAAGCUGUGGUGAAUUUUGAGUUUGGGAGCUCAUACUUUCUCUUUCAGACCAAGUAGUUUUGUGGAAAGUUUGAGGAACUUCAUGUUUGUGUGAAAUAAUGCUCCAGAGAUUCUCAUGUUGACAAAGUUUCCCUUUUGUGCGGUGAAUGACAAUUGAAUUUUCAAAACCCGCACUUUUGUGCAUAUGAGCCCAAAAUUUGAACAAAAUAGUGAAGUUGCAUAGAUGUAUUGCCUAGGUUAGGGCACCCAUGGCUUUAUGCAUCCUCAGAUAGUCCAUGUGCCUUUCUCAGUUACAUGUGUAUUUCUCUUCUGUUCUUCACAUGUGUUCUCUGACAUCUCAUGACACUUGAGCUCUAAAUGGAAAUAUCACAUACCUUUUCUCCUCGGAUCACGUUAUGUUAUAUCUUCUAAAAGAACUCUCAAUAAGAGAAUUAAGAGUAUUUACUAUGCCCAUAAUUUUGAUUAAGCAUCAAUUACUUGAUACAUCGGAAAUAAGAGCACCUGGAUCUCAGAUGCUUAACAAUAGCAUUUAGUGUUUUGGUCUUUUUGAUACUGAUGAGGCGAUGACUAAAAUUGGCAAUGCAGUGACAUGUAAAUUCUUAUAAUUGUAAGAUGCAAGCAGCUUAUGCAUAGGUUGGUUUAGUUUGUCAUAAUUUCAAGUGGAAUGUCACUGAAUCUGGAUGUCUCUUUCUGGACUCAGGAUGCUGAUGGGAGUGUUCCCUUCUUCUGGGGAGCUGAUGCACAAGACCAUCUUGUACUUUCCGAUGAUGCGGACAUUGUCAAGAAGGGUUGUGGAAAAUCAUUUGCACCUUUUCCUAAAGGUACAAAAUAUUUGAGAAUGUCAUCUACCAUUCAGCAUACUGUUGUAUCCAUGAUCUUUCGUGCAUAUCCUCAUUUUCCAUUUCCUGGCAGGCUGCUUCUUUACGACAUCUGGGGGAUUGCAGAGUUUUGAGCAUCCUAUGAACGAACUUAAGCCGAUGCCAAGAGUUGACAGCCAAGGCCAGGUCUGUGGUGCUACGUACAACGUUGACUACAUGGCUAAGAAGGAUGCCGGGAUGCCCAGAGUCGGCAGUUCUGCAAAUUGGUCUUCCCAAUUUUAACACUGCAAGCAAUUGCAUGCUGCCUUUGUUGUUUCUCCCUACAUAUAUUAACCAUGUCUUUUUUUCCAUUUGAUGUAUCCAUGCUUCACCUUGGUGAUUGUGCACAUCUUUGCAAGAAUGUUUAUGCUCUUGCCAAAGACCUUGCUAUAGCAUAAAGCAUCAUACCUAUGUUUGGAUCCCUGAACCUUUUAUGUAGCAGUGAUAAAUCUCCCACUUGUAUGUGGCAAAUAAAAGUUCUUUUUACUUCUUUUGAUCAAUGAUGUAAUUUUUAUAUAUUGCUUUUGCUUGAUUUCAUCUUAGUUUGAAAGGAUUACUUCCAGCAAAUCCUCAGAGAAAGUUAUAUAUAGUAUGAUGCAUGCAGCUUGAAGCAACAGAGGAAUGAGACAUCACUGCAGCCUUUAAACAAGGAAGGAGGCAGUUGAAUAUCAACACUGGCCAUCAAGAAUUUUAUUUUCAUGAUGAAGAUAUUAUUUGAAGGUUUGAGAUGAACUGAUACCACUACCAAAAUAACAGUAUUCUAAUUUUUUCUUUUUUCAGAAGAAAAGGUUGCUCUCAAAUAUCUUUUUUCUGUCAAAAUCUAUGCCGGCUUUUUCUCUCACACAUCUGAAAAUUCUAUCAGGACUUGCUGUGUUCUUUGAACUCAUUGGCAACUUCUAAAUGGUAGGCAUGUUUCCAAGAUCCCUUUGCCAGUGUCAUAAGAAUUUAUGUAAAUUGAUCAAGCCUUAUACAUUUACUCCUUCGCUCUCUUUAAUUCUCUCCAGGAAGCCUGAUCAUACUUUUAUGGUAGUAAUUAAAGAGAGACAAAAUGGUUUAUUGAUGAACUUAGCAGAUCAAAAGUUUACCUGAGAUAUGAAUGCUUGCUGCUCUCUUUUUAUAUGAUUAUCGCACUACAUCUACUUAGAAAUGUCAAAAUAUCUUUGAAUCGAAAACAAAUUACUCCUGUAAAUCAAAUUAAUCCUCAUAUUAUCACUAUUAUCAUACCCUCCUCAAAUUCCUGCAUCGACGGAUCUCAUGCGCUGGAUACGUCCUUUACCGUCUCUAUUGUUACACCUCGAAAGCAUCCAAUGUUAGCUCACACUAGUAUGGUGGUGUCCUCCUCUUCUGUUCUCCUCACGCAACAAAAGCUCUCUUACGCCCAUCACCUCCCUCCACCGGAUACUCUUUGAACCUCCUUUGUUUCUUCUCUCGCUCUUCUUCCUCGUAUUAACCCUUAAGAGCUUCUUUCUUUCUCUCUCAAGCACGAUGGAAGCUAAUAUUCUUCGUUGUGGGGGGAUUAAGAGGCUUCCUCCGAUAAGCAGAAGACCACAAGGGAUGGAGUUAGGCCAUCGGAUGCCACCCCGAAAGCUCCUGUCUUCUGUAGUUGAAGCGAGGGUGCAGACCGAGGAGAAGAUGGUGGCAGCCACAGAGAAGACGACGUACAAAGACAACUGGUUCGACCGACUUGCCAUCCGCUACCUUUCAAGAUCUCUUCAAGCCACCACAGGUUCGUCAUGGUGCUUACAGACAGACUAACUAUGCUGAUCAUGGCGCUUACACUUCUUCUUCUUCUUGUUUCGACAAGCCAUAGUUACUCACAGAAAGCAACUAAAAGAAACAUAACAGUAAUGGUUGCAAAAUGCUAGACGUAGAUAUCAACUCUACCUACAUAUUAGACAUGCAGAUUAGGUAAAGUAAUUCCCACCAAUACUGAUCAGACCAUUAGCAAUGGAGGAAAAGAAAAGAGAGCUAGAAAUGAAUAUGUUUCUCUAUUUCAUCAAAACUACAGCUACAAAAUACACCUUUUGGACAACAUGUCACGACAGAAAAAAAAUCGUAGCAAUGCAUAAACAUCUUGGAACAUUUGUUUCCAGAAAAGUUGCAUACUUGUUUUGUUGCUGUGUUUUGUUGGAUUUAAGAUAGAGAAAGGUGUGACAGUGUUUUCUGCUGUUGGCUUGUAGAGUGCAGUUUGUGUCUCUUUUCAUUUUCUUUCUUUAAAGCAGAACAUGAAGAUAGCUGAUUUGACUCACAGGCAUAAGCAACAACAAGGAAGGAUAUGAGAGCUUGGUUGAGGCAGCAAUCAUGAUCUGCAAGAAAGUUGAUGCCAAAGCACAGCAGGAUCUGGUGAUCCAAUCUCUCCACAGCGCCCUUCCAGUGAUCAUAUUAACAAUGGCAAGUUACUCUUCGACCUUCUUCAUCAUGGUUCUGAGAAAUAAAAUUUCCAACAUAAAUGUGUGUAUUUUUCUCCGACAUUUGAUCUGGACUGUUGGAUGGUAAACCAAUGGACUGAUACUCUUGAUCAACUAAUUAAUUGGAGCAAAUUAUUGGAGAAUAAAGAGUUACCCUAUAGAAUCAUAGGACAUUAACUGAAACCAUGCCCUUGACAUGCUUCAUAUAUCUUCAGAGAGACUCUCAAUUCUGUAAACCCUGUUAGAGAUGCAGAAACAACAUGCCAAUAAGAAACAUGAGACAGAAGAAAUCCAACGUUUCCUGCUUGUGAUAGUUCACAUCACAGCACAUUUGCUAGAUGCAUGUUUUCUCCGAGCACUAGAUUGCUAAUGGAAUUUUGGCAUCAACAUGUCAGAUAAAGAUCUUACUUCCACAGUCAACAUUCACAAGAGAGAUCUUUGCAGCCUUCACCACUCUGUUCUUCCCUUGGCUGGUUGGCCCUUGCCAGGUAUGGGCUUUCUUACUGCACCCUCUUCCUUAAUGAUUUUUAUCUGUAAGCAGAUCUUAUAAAUUCAUCCUUAAAUUCACAUUGACAUCUGAGAAUAAAAAAGACCCUGGAUUAGUAAGCAUUUGAAUGCAUCGAUCUGAAGUGACAUUUCAAUUUGCCAAGGAAGGUCAGGAAAUCAGAAGUCAAAGGAAAGACAGAGAAGAAUGUGGUGUACAUCCCUAAAUGCAGGUACUCUUUGAUCCCUUGUUCAUAUCUCAGACAACGAAAAACAAGAAAUGAAAAGAUUAUGCAAUUAUAUACGGUAGAAUUCAUACAUCUCAUCUGUUCAUUGUUAAGACUUUGUGAAGUUUUGCUUCUGCCAUGCAGGUUUCUGGAGAGCACCAACUGUGUAGGGAUGUGCACAAACUUGUGCAAGGUCCCCUCCCAGAAGUUCAUCCAGGAUUCACUCGGCAUGCCUGUCUACAUGGUUCCAAGUAUGAGUCUUACUCUAUCACUCUCGGACAACCCUUCAAAAUUGCAUAUCAUAUAUACCAGACGAUUGUCUUCCCUCGGAUACUUGUACUCGCUAUGGGAGGACAAGUAGGCCACAUCGACAGUAGAUUGCACCAUCUUUUACGAACAGUGGAUGCACCAUCCCUGAAGGAAGAAAAGGGAGGAGGAGGGGUGGGAGAUUGCACCAUGUUUCCGUGAGUUGAGGUCCACAGAGCAACCAUUUAGGGAACAAGAAAAAUAGAACGAGAUCCACAAUGGGAGUAUAAAAUGCUUUGCGUCACCUUUUCCCUCAAUGUUUCAGAGCGAAGAGCUCCCCUGUCUGCAGUCAGCCAUUGUCGUGCUCCAUGCUCUUCCAUUCAUUCUAGUGUCCGAGAAGAAACAUCGUUCCCUCAUUUGCCAUCACAUUCCAUGAGACAUCUACACUUGCACCGUCAAGUCUCACUCACGACAAGCACUGGCUUGUUCAAGUUGAGCAUUGAGCUCCAGUAGAUGCUGCACAAGCAGCAACUGAUAUUUUCGAGUAAUAUGUUUAUUUUCUAUAGAUUUACAAGAUACAAGUGAUCUAAAUCAAAUGGUUACGAUUGCUGAAUCCCAGAUUUUGAAGACCUGAGCUGCGAGAUGGUCUUUGGUCAGCAACCUCCUCUUCAUGACCCCACGUUGAAGCAACCAUGCUACCACAAGUCCUGUAAUGGCAUCGAUCCCAGCACGUUGACAGGCAAAAGAAUUCAUCCCUUGACUUCUUCUAACUACGAUCUUAUUUGGCCACUGUUUGCAGGCAUAACAAAGCAGAAACAUGGUGUGAACUGCUCCAGUGGAUGAAAGAGAACUGGCAGCACUUCAUCCUACGACGCAGCAGAUUACACUGUAUUAAAUAUGCAGUUGAUUUAGUCUUUCUUUCAACUGAAAAUAUAUGUACUGUCGAUCAGAAGGUGAUGGGAAUACUGUUUACAUGUCAUUUGCUGUCGAAUUAAAUAUGUAGAACAAGACACAUUUCAGUCUCCGAAUAAUUGUGAUGUGACGCCCUUUAAUACCCCUUUUGGUUUGACUUUUCUUUUUAGAAUCUUCUCACAGGAUCUAAAUAAUGAAUCACAAGAGAAUCUUAUCAUCGAGGAACUGCGUUUGUCGAAUUCAUCCCCACUAAUGGUAGGUGAGAUCAAUAGCAAUCCACAAUUACGAUAUGGGAAUUGGAGAGUAAGACCAUCAGUCAACACAUCAUGUGCAUGCUUAAAGCAACAUAAAGCGCGAGUUAGGGCUAAUCGAGAAACCUUUUUUCCAUGGGAAUGCCAUAACUAAGUUUUCUAUUAGGAAGACGAUGAAGGUUUAUUCCACGUACGGACUUCUGACUGCAUUCUUACGGCAAACAAUGGCAAAUCUCCAUUUAGUUUACGGAAACUUUUGACAGUCCUUUUGCGUGCAAAGCCAUUGUCCAUGAAGAACUGAAGAAUGAUAAUUUGAUAUUUCCAAAUGCCAACUAUCUGAACUCAUUGAUCUUAGGAGGAUUCAACUAAAUCCGGAUUGAAACUGGCACCAAAGAAGAAUAGGGAGGAGGAAUGGGUAAUUGCGCCAUAGUUUCUGUGAGACGAGGACCACCAGGCAACCAUUCAGGGAACAAGAAGAAUGGAACUGAUGUCCACGAGGGGAGUAUAAAAUGCUUCACGUCACCUUUUUCCGCGGACAUUCCAAAGCGAUGACCUUCCCUGUCGGCAGUCCUCCAUGCAAUGAAUAAAGAUCGAUCCCAUCAGCCAUUGUUGUGCUCCAUCUUCUUCCAUUCAUCCUAGUGUCUGACAACAAACUGGAUGUUCCAGUGACAGGACAGCAAUACACUGUUACUGUCAAAUCUCACUCAUGACAAGCACUGCCAUUCUCAAGUUGAGCUUUGUGUAGAUGCACAACUAGUGCUCCCUGUUGCUGCUAAUAUCUCAACAUCUGCGGCUCACAUCUCUGGAUUUUAUUGAAGAGGAUAUUAGAUGCUCUUUGUUAAAUGUCGUAGUUGCAAGUACAUAAAGAAAACACAUGAGCUUCAGAGAGGCUUGGCAAUGAACGGAUGAGAGCAGACGACGGAUGUGAAGCAAAAGGUGAUGGCAUUGCUGCCUGAUAGAGUCUCAUCAUCGAAUCACAAGAGAUUGUCAUCAUGGAGGAACCUCUUUGACUCUCCGCUUGCUCUAAUUACAUCUAAAUGAUAUGACAGGCAUAUCUGUCAUUAUCUAUAGACCUCUAAGAGAGUAGGAAACGCGAAUGAUUCCGCGGGACUGCUCACCUCACUUGUUGGACCAGAUGCAGAUGCAGAUGCAGUAGCCAACAAGCAAGCAUGUUACAGGGAUCUGAGAUGACCCAGAUGCUCCACUAGGAUUUCCAUGGAUUCACUUCUCGGUGGACUCUGAACUGAUUGCCCCAACCAGAGAAUGAGCAAACAGGCCGAUCCACUCUCUGACCUCCUAAAUGGCGAGUGGCCAUGACAAUUUGGUGCCGUUGGUUGUAAUUGAUAUGCCUUCAAGAACUAUAGGGCAAAUGAGUCGUUGACCAAGAAAACCUUGGAAACUCACAUAACCGUUCCUCUUUGUGUUAAUAUUCGCAUAUUCCAUAUAAUAAUGAUUCGUAUCUCACACCAUGAUGCUGACAUAAUCCCUCGGCCUCAACCUGUGCCUUAACACUCCGCUAAAUUCCUAAUUGGGCCUUCUAGUAGGUACAACAAUUGGCCAAUUAAGGGCCCGUAAUCUCGCUUCACUGUUGUACAUAGAUCGGGCUCAACAGGUAUGGGCCAAUAUGGCCCAUUAAUACCUAGUAAGAGAUUGGACUCGAUCCGUUCCUGCCCGCUUUGCCCCCGGCCGCUCGAAUUGGCCAACCGCACUUCACCGCCAUCCCCGACGGCGGAGUUAGCCGGCGGCCGCGUCGAGUAGAUCUUCGCCACUUCCCCCUCGCGGCGUCGCGUGGACUUCAGCUUGGUUCGUGAACCCUCACCUGUAGCGCCACCAACGGCGGAGGGGGAUUCUGUGUGCCGAUAGUUCGGUUUGGCUUGAUCGUGGAGCAGACGAAGGGCGGCGUGGCCACGAGGUUGGAGGAAGGGACGACGAAGAUGAACGCUUGGGCGGCGACGGUGAGUGGAUCCGUACUUUGUGGUUGAUUCUGUGUUUUGCGCCUUUGGUUCGGCCAAAUGGCAACCUCGUUGUCUGCCUUCUACUCUUUACGCGUCGAUGCUCGCCACUGGGGAUGGGCUUCUGUUGGUAUUUGAUGACAUCUACAGGGCACUUCAGGUAAUCUUGCGAGAAAUGUAGUGUGGAAUAUGAUUCUUAUGCUUGAUUUGAGCGAUCAGGAGUCCUAUCUAUGAGAAGUAUGUACAAGGAUAAGGUAAACAUGCAGUUUUUGUCUUGGAAAGAAGGAAAUCAGCGUAAGCUAUCUAGGGAUCAGGUGAUAUAUCGAGAAGGAGAAUAUGGAUGAAACUGAAUCUGAAAAGCAGUUAUAACAUGAGAAAAGGGAAAAAAAUUGUGAUCAUUGUUUGAGAGAUUACGGUACUGAAAAGGUCAGACUUUUCAGAAAGAUCAACAGAAGGGUAAAAAAAUAUUAGGUGGAGAAUCUCAACAGACAGUACUUCCAAAUGGUUUUGCUAGUUCUGAUUUGAGAUCUCUGCCAACAUCUUUGAUGAUCCAGAAAUUGAUUAGAAGAGUAAAAGAAAUGAGAAAGAGGUCGGCGAUGCAAGUCUGAGAUGACAGAGUAGACAUACUGUUAGGUUUAUUAUUUUGGUAUUUUGCUGCUUAAUCAAACAUGAAAACGUGCAUUCAAGCUUGAAAAUGAUUGAGUUUUAAACAACUCCCUUACACUUUAAAGUAUAACAUCUCAUUGAGUAUCUGAAUCUAGAAUAACCAGUUAUAUGAUUUGGAACUCAACAACAUUGGAUCCUAACAAUGUGCUUCUCCAAGUUUUAAGACACAAAAGGAAAACCAAAAUGGAUAUUAAAAAUCUACUAUCUUUUAAACUGUGAAUGUCAAAUCCAAUACUGAUUUGUCUGGGGAAAGUCUCAAGUGCACCUAGAUGUGAAUGGUUUCCUUGAACUACAUAUCAUGCACGAAAAAAUAGGGGAAAUUGAGUUUUUAAAAAUUGUGCUCUGACUCAUUUCUUAUAGAUUGUUAUGGUAUCAGUUGAUUAAUAUAGCACUGAUUUUUUCACGAGGAAUGUUUUACAAAAUCUAAUAUAACUUAUCAGAAUAAUGCAAAAGUAAAUCAUUAGUAGUGCAGAAUUAAAAUACUCAUGUAUAUUAUGUUCCUUGAAGACAUAUGGUGUGCAUGAUCAUUCUUAUGCCCACGACUCGUUAAACAGUUUGGUGCUGAUAUUUGUGUUGAUUCAAGAGAAUUGUUUGUGUAACAAGACAACUGUCAUUAGACUCAUAACUAUAGAAUACGUAAAUGCAACCUUGCUUUCCUGAACUGAUUUUUGAGUUUCUGCACUCAAGUCAUGAAAUCUUAAUUCAACUUUUCUGGGUUUUCGUGCAUAUAUAGGCGUCUAAAUUUAAUCCAUGACAAUGUAUCAGAAAAGGGUGACUGGUCACCCAGGUCACAAUUUAUUCACUAUAAAAAGGGUCAAUGUGCAUUGUUUCCAACAUGUUAUUCAUCAGGAUUGCAUGUUCCAACCAUGCUGGCUUUUGCUGGUUGGCACUGAUUUUGUCGGCAGUGGUAUCUGCAUGAUUUAUCACAAGAAUUUGCUGACACAACAAUAUAUUGGCAUAAUACUUAUGGCAGCCAGCAUGCCUCUGAUCUUGUCUGAGAUGCAUUGUGCCAGCACAUUACCCGCAAGGACGAAUCUAUUAUAUGUGUGGCUAAGGAGAGAAAGAUUAGCAGAGGACUUAAGCUUCAGAAGAACAUUUGCCCAAUUAUUAAGAUGACCAAGUGUCCUUUAACUCAUCUAAUCUGCAGACAAUCAUGAAAAUUUACUAUUUCGUUGAGCUUGUAGUAUCUUGCUGAGCUUUGCUAAGCCUGUCUUUUCCUAUAGCAUUAUGACUUUGCAUAUACGAGGAAUCUACGCGGCUAUAAGGAAUUGAUCAGUAUCCUAUAGCCAAUUUUCAGUGAAAAGACAUAGUUUUGUUAUUUUCUUUUGCAACAUCAUUAAGCUAUUUGACUUUUUUAGUCCUUCUAGUUGUUGUCUUCUCAAUAUUUAUUCUUGUGAAACUAGAUAGGAAUGAGAACUUAUUUUCUUUUUAAUUCAGAAUGGCUAGUAUGUAAACGGGAAACACAAAACUUGUGUUUCAUCUUCAUCUAAUUUCAUUCUCCCUUGGUCUCAUUCCAACUACUUGCACUAAGAUGAGAUUUGGAGAGUAUGACAAAGGUUGUUAAUGAUUGAUAUCUGUGGCACUACGUAUCCUAUAUGGAUUGCUGCACCACAACCUUGUCAUUUGGCUUCAUGAAAUUAGUCACUUCUAUCAUUUUGCUCUUUGGAAGCCUUUUUUCUUAUAUAAUUUUUAGUUGGAGGGAUCCAACUCAUAACAUUUAUGCUGGCUAUUCAACCACAGGAUGGUGAUGUAGUUGUUACUUCUACAGAUUUCUGAACAAAAAUUAUAUCAGUUGAUAAUCUAAAACAUACUAAUGCAGUGUGACACUCUUGCAAAUUUUAUUUUUCUUUUUAAAUGUCUCUUGCAAUAACAUAAUUGCACUUCAAAUUGUUAUUUUUUAAUGUGCAAUUAUGUUUUAACAGUGAGCAUAAGUGUUAUUUUUCUAAUUCUGUCUAUUAAAGUCUUUAUAGGUUUUAUUUCAGUUUAUUACCAUCCUACUACUAUUCAUUAUGGUUCACUACAGUAAAAUUUCAGUCUUGUUGAUUGAGUCUACUCUCUAUAAACAUGGGCAGCUGAAAACUUUUUUGUUCUUAAGUUAUUUUAGAUAUAUCUCUACUUAUUUAUAUACUGAUAGAACAGCCCUUUUAAAUAAAAAAAUAAAUGAAACUGUUAAGAUUCAAGUUGCUACAUGUAAAGAGAAAAAAAGCCACUGCCAUGUAUGAAAACUCAAACUGCAGCUUGCAGUUCCUUUCUAACUGCAGUAAAAUUCUUCCUAAUCUCUUCAAUCCUUUUUGUUGUCCUUCUGUAUGAUACAAGAGCUCAAAUUUGAUGAUGCUAUCUAUCUUCUUCAAUUAGACUGUACAAUUAUGCUCAUGAGGAUUGAUUAGACAAUGCCCAUUCUUUUUUCCUUAUCUUUUCUCUUUUUCUAUAUGAUAAAAGUAUAAUAAAGAACUUGUAUGACUUGAUAGAAGAUAAAUAAUUGCCAAUUGAACAUGUGGUGGUUCCUGUCUCGAUAUCAGGUAUUAGCUGAGUCAAAUCUCUGGAAUAAUUAGUCAUGGUUACUAGUCUCUUUAAAAGUAUCAAGCUAAAUUUACAAUUUCAACCUUCCCUUUGUGAUUAUUGAAAUUGUCAUGUUCUUUAUAAUAGAGAAUCUGCAGGGCUCUUUAUUUCACUUCAAUAAGUAACAAAUUACAGCCGAUCUGUACCAAACUUUCAUGCCAAAUCUGCAAUAUCUCAACAACUUCUACCUGCUUUCUUGCAGACUACUUUGUGUUCCCAUUCAGCUUUCCCAGACAAGUGUUACAUUAGAGACAUGUGAUUCCUACAUUGUACUAACUCCACCAAUGUCCAGGCUUGGAUAAUCUUUUAGGGGAUCUAACAACUUAGAAUUCACUGGCAUUAUAUGAUAUUUUCAAACAAAAGCCCAAAUGACUGCAGAUGACCAACCAACUCCACUUGAUGCAUCAGUACACAUCGUAGCAAGUGAUUAUUUUAAGUCAUUUAGGGUCUGCAUAUAGACUUCCAAACAAGACUAUCCCUUCCUAAGAAUUCCCCUCAGUAACUAUCAUCGGCAUGUUUAUGCUCUUUCUAAGAAUCUCAAGCUCUAAGAGGUAAUUUUGAACCUCCAGCUUGCUAAGCAUAGUUUUGAUCUUUUUUCACCAUGUCUGGAGCAUUUGGCAGAUAAAUUUGUUGUACAUCCUUUCCUGUUAUAUGCUAGUAUAGUCUUCCUAGCUUCUUCACUCACUAAAUAUUGCAAGAAAAAGAGAUGUUUCUUUAAGAACUAGUUUAUUUGUUUAGAUUUUGUUAUUAAGCUGAUCUGUUGCAGGUUCUAAGUAUGAGAGGUGAAGAUGAUGACGGUGUCGUGUUACAGCUGGUCUCUGGUACCCCAAACCUGUCAUUUGAGGUAAUAUUAUAAACAUAAGUAUAGACUCAGUAAGUUCAAUCCACCAUAUUUCUUGUCUAGAUGUUCCUUAUUUGAUGUUCACAGAAGACCUAAGUUGAUCUAUUUUAGUUUUGUAUACAACUUGUGAGUUCCCUUGUGUCUUGGUGACAUAUUUGUUUUUCCUAUGUUCAUUGUUUUCGGUGCCAAACUAUGCUAAGAAUCACUAUGCUUCUUGCCAAUCCUCCCCAUCCCACCUCCAUUCUUCCUUUUUUUUCCGUUCUGUUUCUUUUUUCUCUCCCACCCUCAUCUUGUUUCUUCUGCCCUCAUGGCUUCAAUUUCUUAUUCCUGCAGUGUUUACUAGUGUAGAAUGGCCUGUACCUCGAGACAUUUAAAAUUCAAUAUUUUGAUCAUAUGUUUCGUAUUCCGUGGAAAUUUUUUUUGUUCAUCAAAGCAAUCCCUGGUUACUUUUUCAUCCAUAUGUUUUAAUCACCCCUAGAUCUCAACCUGCACAAAAUACAUAUGCAAAUUGAAACAUUUGUAACUACAGAAAUAUCUUAUAUAUUUCAGCCUAGCACCAUUAGUAUGAUGACAAACAAUAUCUUAAGAAAGGGCUGAAGCAUAUAUAUGGUACAAAAUACUGCAUGACAAGUGUCAAUGCAGCAUUUUGGUCAGUAAGUAUCCAGAAUAACUAGUGUUUUAUUGUAGUGUACAAAUAAUAAUCUCUCUAGUGCAUCUUUGUCUUAUGAGGUCAGACCAUCAAAAGAAUUCAGUGCUCUUAUAUUAAUCGGUGUUAAAUAUCGAAGACAUUUCCAAAAAUAACCUGUCAGAAGCAAGUUCUCUCAAUCUGAUAUGUCAAAUAAUGGCCUAUGGGAAUUUGUUAAGACUUUGAUCAAACAAUCCUCACCCUUUUAGUUAACGCCAGAGCAAAUGCUAUUGAUUACCUGUUGCUUUUAUGUUCACAGGCUGCAAUACUUGCAUAUUCAGCAUUUAUCGAUAUCAUAGCUCUGAUCUCAUCAACUUUCAUGAACUUGGCAUGUGACACCUUGUGAUCGAUUUUCCCUUUGUUGUGUUUUUUUUUGCUUGUGGUUGUUGCGUCUACCUUUACUUCUGUGCAUGCAUGGCAGUUGCAAGUUUAUAGGAUUCUUCUGCUCAGGACCCAAUCUUUUGAUCUGACAUCUUAUACCACUUUUCUCCUUUGAUUAUGUGAGCCUGCAACCUCUUUCCUGUUUUGAUUGCAUGUGAACUUAUUCCUCAAGUGUGCAAUUGGUGCAUGGCAUUCCUGUCUGCCAGUUCAAGACUUCUAUGUCUCUGUGUAACACUCCUCGUUCAUCUUAUCACCAGGAGGUAAGUAAAGACGGAAGUAAUCUGCGCUUUCGAUUUAAUUGUUCAGCUGACAGCAAUGAGGGUCAAGGAAUGAAGCUCGUGAAAGAAGAUACAGGAGCAGGAAUGCGGUCGCUCUACUUCAAAGUCCUCGGCAUAAUGCCAAUGUCUGUUAUUGCUGCUUCUAUCCACCGCUCCUACCACCAACUUGAGACCCUCAAACUCGAGCCAGAGCACAAUGUGGCUUCAUAGCCAUGGCAGCUCGUCGGAGUCUGCACGUGCCCAUGGACUACUCCUGCAUAUAGCUCCAAACUAUACUCACGAUCGAUGCAUCCUAAUCUACCUCCAUUUCAACAGAAGCAUCAUCCAAUGCCCGUAUUACGUCCAUCCUCUUCUGUUUUUUUGUCAAGGUAGGUUGAUAAAUCGGUGCAAUAUCAAGCUUGAGUUAGGAUUGUGUGUGUGUUCUUUUGGGGAAUGUAUGGGAAGAAUUGUUAUUUGCCUGCUUGUACAUUGUGUUUGUGGUGGCUGUAGUGCGGUGGCUUCUCUUUCUGUUCUUGGACGGUGUAGAAAAAGUUAAUGCAAAUCUAUAUUUUGUGUACGAUAAUAUACUAAAUGGAUGCUGUUGGAAGUAUUGGUUGUAAUGUCUUGGGACAGCAUUGCAGUGCUUGUCAAGGAACGGGAAGGGAUUCACGUAGUUUGCAUGGUGGUGGGUGAAAAUUUUACUUUCGGGAUCGUUGACCGGUAAAGCCCUUUGACCUAAUACCUAUAAGCAACUUCCUAAGCAAAUCACGCGGAAGGCUAGAUUAAUAUCAUUUUAGCCAUUGUGAUUUUGAUCAUAGAUCAUUUAAAUCAUAUUUAUUCGUAUCUAAAAUAUUUUUUUAUAUUUUUAAAAAUAUAGUAUAUAAAUUUUUUCUAUCAAGUUUGAUUUAACAGACGUUAGAUUUUGUUUACGUGUAAUUAAAAUUUUAAAAAAAAUUAUUUUAAUCUUUAUGGUUUUUUUUAUCAUGAACAAGUACUUAUGAUUUUGUUCAUGUCUAAAAUAACUCUUAUAUUUUAAAAAAUAUAACAUAUAAGUCUCUUUUGUAAAGUCUAAGUUAAUAUAUAUUAAAAUUUAUUUACAUGAUAUACUGAUUUAUAAUAAAUUAUUAAUAUAAUAACACGUAUAAUUUAAAUUAUAAAAUUGAGAUCGUCAUCAAUGGUGAGAGGAGACGUCGUCGUGGAAGUGACCACGUUGUUGCUUAGCAGGGCGUCGUACGUAUGUAGCCUCUCUCAUGCUUACGAUAAGCUUAGGAACUUCUAGUCUUGCUUCAAGCAAAUGUGUGUCGACCAGUCUAACAUUAUGCAUGUAAUGGUCUCCUAGUCUCUCUUUCUCCUCCUGGGUAUCUUUGUCUCCACCGCCUCCCACUUCGUCAUCUCCUGCAUCCCCGCCAAUCGUGUCUACGACAUGGUGGUCUAGUUCUCCCUCACCUCCGCCUCCGGCCUCUCCUACCUAUAUCUCUCCGCCUUCGUUUACGGUUAUGAUCUCCGUCACUUCCUCUUCCUUAAUAAGAUAGAUUUUUUUAAAAACUUAAAUUAUAUAUAUCAUUAUACUAAUAAUUUAUUGUGAGUCAGCAUGCCACGUAAAUAGACUCUAAUGUCUAUCAACUUAGAUGUGACGGGAGGGGCUUAUAUGUUAUAUUUUUAAAAAUAUAUAGAUUAUAUUAGAUAUAAGCAAAACUAUAAGGACUUAAGUGAUCAAUGAUUAAAACUAUAGAGGCUAAAAUAUUUUUUUAACUUAAAUUAUACUUAUCAUUAUAUUAAUAGUUUAUUAUAAAUCAGCAACAUAAAUAAAUUCUAACAUCUAUUAACUCAGACUUGAUGGGAGGGACUUAUAUGCUAUGUUUUUUAAAAUAUAUGAAUUAUUUUUAGAUAUGAGUAAGCUAUAACGACUUAAUGGUGCAUGAUCAAAAUCAGAUAAGUUAAAAAAUGAACCUUAAUCCUAUAUGAAUUUGUUUAGCUUAGACUUUUUGGUACAACCGGUGUAUAUGAAUUUUCCCGAGAGAGUAUGUUAUCUCCUCUCUUUAAAAGUGAGGCCCUUCGAUCCGAUCUGUAUUGAUGAGAAUCUAAUGUACUACUAUGUACUACUGUAUAUGUUCUUUGGCUCAGAGGAUUUGGCCUAUCCCGGUACAGAACAAGGUCACACUAUACGCAUAGAAAAAUCAUGGUUAUUGGCGGCAACAUAGCCAUACACGGUGAAACUCUUGAAGUUGCUGUGAUUGUUUUAUUGUACCUUUCUGCUACUAAAAUUAUGGUGCAUUGCCUCACCAAUAGUGAAUCUUCUCGAGGCAGGGAUGAAGUAGUUGAGACUAAGAAUGGGUUGACGAGGGUGAUUUCGAGGUUAUCUCAAGAUGAAGCUAUAGUGAAUUCGAUCUUUGUUGGGACCUUAGCACAAUAGAUCGAUGUCGAAAGAAAUUCUUGAUCUGACCCAUCUUAUGCUUAAGUUAACUAAUGAGGAAUUGACUCUAUAUUUGGUGGGGGUUUUCUAAGACCAAUCUCCCUUUAGGUGUCGGAGAUAGAACCGCUCGUAUCUAUUAUGGCACAUUCGUGCGAGCAGCCGACCCGUAUAUGCCCCUGCUGCAUGGGUCAACCUGUCCAAGCUCCUGUGGCACGACAUCGAUCAGUACUGCCCCAUGCAGUGGGGGGCUAGUAAGGAUAGACGAGGAAGUGCCAACCGCUAAUAUAGUCCUCUCCCAUGUCAAAUAAAUGUCGUGCUAUCCUCAAUAUUAAUUGCUCGACGAUUGUUGACUGACGACUUAAUACUGAAAUAUUAUGUUCGUCCUACUUUUCAAAAACUUUGACAGAUACAAAACCCAAAUACCAUAUGUAUCAUAAGUACCUUCACUUAUGGAUUAUGAGAAUAAAAAUAUGAUUGAUAAUUAAAGAUUAUAAAUAAUAAAAUUAUAUUUUAUUAUUUUAAAAUAUUAAAGUAAUAAAAAAUUACAAUAGCAAAAUAGGGGUUGUCAAAAACAAACUUGUAAGCACUCUCUAUAGAACAGAUCUUUCAUCCCAAAAUAAUACACAAAGCAUUAGUACAUCGUGAAACAAAACCAACGUCACCAUUCAAAUUAUAAUCCAUGUCUUAUCCAAUAACUAAUGAAAUAGUACGAUGAAUACAUCGAAUCGAAUGAUCGGGGAAAAGACAUGGAACGAACUGACAAAAAAUCAUCAUAACAAAAAGAAGAGGUACUAAGAUUAUUUGCCCUUUAUGGACAAAUAAGAUUAGGACGGAUCCUUUUCCAGAGUAGAGUAGACCAUCAACCGAAACGAAUUGAAAUGACCCAUUCAGGAACAAGAAAAUUACCUAUAUUCGUGCAUGAUUUCUUGUUCCUCCCGACAGAAAAUACAAAGGUGUCCAUCAGACCUAAUCAGUCUAAGUCAGAAGACCAUCUAUCUCGAUUUUAUAUAAUAUUAUCUUAAUUUUAAAUAGGAUUAGAAGCUGUCAUAAGAACCAUCACAGAUCCGAGAAUCCAAAAAGCAUGAGAAAGGUCCUUAUGAUGUCGCUCAUUAAACCCAUCUUAGAUGCAAAAGGAGUAAUCAUACAUGCAUUACACAUUCCUACGGACAUGCAUGAGGCUCAACACCAGUAUUUUAAGCAUUGGAAGUGUGAAUACUCACACCUCGGUCAACGCUACCCACCCAAUCCCAUAACUCAAUUCAAUGUCAACGUUAUGCUGUUGUAUACACACAAGAAUCGUAUCAAACGUAAAACGCGGAGCACAAAGCAUCAAUCUAAUCGAGUGAAUGCUCAUGAAAGCACACAGUUGCUUUCUACCAUCUAAUCAUGCACAUAUCAUAUUACCACAUGGCAUCCAAACCACACCAAAAUAAAACAAAAAUAAAAUAAUAAAAACCAAAACCUAAUCUAGAGAGAGAGAGAGAGAAGGGGGGAGGGGGAGGGAAGAAGGGAAAUAAAAUACACUGCCCCAAAAAGAGUAGGGAAAACAAAAAUUAAAACGGGUGAUGGCUACGAGUAAUCCCAUUCACAUUGGCGAAGAGCCCAACCAAGUCCUUCUUGUACGGGAGGAACGACCGCCGGGCGGCGCCACUCCUCGUCGCCUGCCCGCCUUUCCCGUAAUAUAUCCUGUAGGCGGUGACUACAUCCACCUCGGUGCCCUUACCCGCCUUCCCUCUUGUCUUGGUCGCCCCCCCGUCUUUGCCCUUUCCUGCCUCGACCUUGGUUCCGCGGCUAGGGCUUUCCUUGCCCUUCUUCUCCGCCGCCGCGAGGAACACGAACUUCUCCUUCCCGUCGCUGUGGCUCCGCCCGAGCACCAGGUCCCGGAGCCGCCACCUCAGCGAGGACCCGGUGGAUCUGCUCUUCCGGCACCGAGACGGCGACGGCGUCGCCGACGACCUCGGUGCCCAUACGCAGUACGUCCCCGGGGGGAUGCCCUCGAGCUCCUCCGCCGCCGCGGACGAGGACGAGGAGGACAAGGCCGAGGCGGGAUUCUCCGCCCGCUCCUCGAUCAAGAGCCGCCGGAGUGUCCCCCGCAAGGCCGAGGUAUUCUCCUCCCCCUCCCCUGGCGCGGGCGCGUCACUGCUGCCGAGGCGGUCGUCGUCGAGGAGGGCGCGGUUGAAGACGGGGUAGAUGGGGCGGAUCCGGCCGUCGGCGAAGAUCUCGUCGGCGUACAUGGCGGCUCCGGUCUCCGGGUCCUUGAUAACGACGGCGAAUUCGAAGUCGUCGUCGUCGUCGUCGACGUCGACGUCGGAGUCAUCGUCCCCGCCGUCGUCCGGAGGCGGCGGUUCUUGCUGCGAGGACUCGCAAUGGACGGCAGAGAAGGCCUCCUCAAAGGUCACGCGGAAGCUGGGUGAAGCCGUGAUGAGCGGUACGUCUCCCUCUCCUCCUCCUUGCAUCGCUUCCGGUUCGUGUAUUGUCUCGUCUGCGAUCACUUCUUUUUCUUCUCCGAUGGGAUGAUCCGAUCAGAAGCUCACGGGCAGGGGUGGGGGGGGGGGGGGGUUGAUGGACGGAGAGACGGGGGUUGGCGGCGUUAAUAAAGGGGACGCGGUGGUUAGUGAGGUAAGCGUUGAGCUAAGCGGGCGGAGGCUUGGCUUGGAGGUUUUCGUGCGGGAGAAGCCACACGCGUCAACGGGAGGGGUAUACGGUUAGGCACGCGUGAGGGAGGGUUUGUUUCUGGAAAGACAACUGGCACUUAUGAGAAGGUGACGUCAUAGCUCUCGACAUUGGGGUCGUGGGAUGCGGAGGUGGAAUUCCACCUGCGGUUGGUGGAGACGGUUGGGGCCCAAGCUAGCUGGUAUCUCAUCUUCUGGACGCCCGGGGAAACCUGGAAUUAAUAAAUCCCUUAAAAAUCGUGCUUUAUUUUUAUGUGAAGCACAAUGGAUGAUGAAAGCAAUAAUACGAUGAUGACGUGUCAAGGUGGUGGCGUGCUUCACGACAGGAGGGAAUAAAUGAUGUUAUGCCCGUCCCAAUCCCAAUUAAUUUCGGAAAUUACUGGGACAAACACACGAUGAGUUUGGUUUGAAAUUGUCAUUCAUAAAUGUGAGUGCAUAUGAUAAACGAGUGAAGGUGCAAUGUAUAAUAUGGGUGGACGAGAGGGUAACGUGUUGUUAAGAGUAAGUCAAAGUUAUGUUCGUUACAGCAUUGAGGAACGGGGAUUUCUUAGGCCGGUUGUUUAAGAUUAUAAGAGUCAAAUUCUACGCCGAACGUAGAUUAACUUUCUCUGGCUUUCUAACGUGGAGCUCUACCGAUCGCCCUAUCGGUGUUCGGUAUCGCUAUUUGCCAAAGGUUGAUGUCGUCUCCAAAGCACAGGGGGGAAUCUGGACUCGGAAGACUUCCACGAAAGAGGUUACGAUGACGCACCUGAAUAAAGUUGAUGCUUGGUGGUGAAGUGAGUCGUGGUCCAAAUCCGAUGGAAGUGCUGGGUUCGGGACUGGAAUCGCGACCGAACACGCAUGUGGACGUACCCAUGAAGUGGAAACCAGAACGAUGGAGAGAGUGAUAUGAUGCCGACGUAUCACAUGGAGUGUCGUGCAGCGGGCGAACCGCAGCGUCGAGCGUGGGGUACUAUUCCCACUUCCGGAGACACUCGGUGGCAAUUGUCCUUGGGAAUGAAUCUUAUCCGGAUGAAGAAUGCGUAAUGAUUUGAGCUAAUUUGAUUUGAGCAUUGUUAUAUUCAAUUAGAUAGUAACGAAUGGUGUCUGAUUUCACUUAGUAUUGGAGAUGUGGAAGAAUCGAAGUUGUGGAAAGCUACCCGUUGAUGGCAUAUUAAGAUGUAUAUCUACCAUUAAUUGAUCAUUUUAUGUUAUAUUGAUUUAACUUUAUAUAGAUUCGAUGAAUAUGUAAUCGUUAAUUUAUAUUGAUACGCGAGCAUAGUAAAUAGAUACUAUGAUAGUACAUCAUGUCCAUUUGAUCAUCGAUAUGUCAAUCGAAUCAUAGUCUCUCAAAGUCGACACUAUGAUGCUGAUAGGAUUUUGAUAAUCCUAAGCUCAAAACAAGUCAUGACCUUAUGAUUUUAGUUGGAUGAUUCAUCGUAUGAUCUCAUAAUUCAUUGAUAGUCGAACAAUUUAUAUAAUUAUUCUUAAUAUUUAUCUUAAUCUUGACUUAAUACUCACUCUAACAUGCUAUACAAGGAGUCCCUAAGGACUUUUUUUUAACUUUCUUGUAUUUUAUUUUUGAAUCUCCUACUAAUUUAAAUAUUAGAGCGAUUUUUGUUGAAUGUAUCCCCGAUAUAAUUCAUGAGGAUUGUUAUUUGAAUAUCAGGUCCCUAAAUACCUAAGAUGAUCUCGAAAAUGAAACCCAUUUGGCUUUGAACUCUUUCUCCAUAUAUUAUAUUAUAGACAACUGGAAUUUAACAUAACUGAGGCUAACUUAUAAAGAUUUGAUUAGUAUAUACUCAUUAAUUUAUAUGAUUCUAGAUUUAUUAAUUAGUGAGUCAAUUCCUCUAUUAAAUCGAAUCACGACAACAUUGAAGUUUAUAUUAAGCACCUUAAUUUAACGGUGGUCGACUUUUUUACUAUGGCGAUGAUAAGUUCUACAAAGAUAGAAGACGUUUUUAUCGGAGCUCAAAAGAUGGGAAAGGUAAAAAUCCAUCCAAAAGCUCAAGAGAUAGGAUAGAAAAAGAAGUGGGUGAAGGGAAUGAUAACGACAAGAUGAAUCGAUUGGAAUUUGGUAUGCGUAUUCUAGUCAUUUCAUAGAGUCGGAUUUGACAUGGAUUGGUGUCAUGCUAUUCAUGUGUAUCCUAUGCAUGUCACUUGAAGUGUCUCUCGCAAGAAAGAGGUUGAUCGGAGAGUAUGGAAGCGGAACAUGUUAUGAGCCACCGAAGUCUUCGCCCACACCCCCGAAGAGUUGUCGUCAUGUUGCCAGCAUUAGGCAUUCCGUCUUCUGGAAGGUCUCCGUUUCCCUUUACCCAAUUGGGAGCGUUGUUGGGUUGGAUUCUGUCGGAUACCAACACCACCUAACAUAAUGGAUCUGAUUUAAUGGAUCCGGUAAGGGCCUUUCAUAGUAAGUAAGACACGAGGCAAUUGCAUCUGAGGAUGUGGUUAAAGAUUGAAAACGGUUACAAACUUUAUUCGAUCAUAAACAUGAUCAUGAUCGUGCAACGUCGAACUUAGAAGACAUGAGGUAAUGAUUGCCUAAGUCAGCCUUUUUUUUUUGUGACGUGAUCGAUUUUGAAGGGUUGAGUCAGCCUCCCAAUUUGUGCAAUGCAAUGACCACACUAAUCGAACGAGGCUGAGGUGUCAACCCAAUAUUCAUAAUCCUCUUAUCACCAAUCAAACUAAUAUUCAUAAUUAAAUUAGACUCGAGUCAUCAUUAUUAUGUGAGAGGAUAAAAGAAUUUGGGAAGAAGAACUAAAACAAUAAGAAUGAUCUCUAUGUGGUUAAAACUAAAUGUUUAAUAUAAUUUUAUAAAUUAUUAGUCUAACCCAUUUUGACAACUAUAAAAAUAAUAUAAUAAUAUAAAUUAUAGUUUAAAAUAUCUUAUAAAUAAUAAAUUAUUUAUUACAAUUCAUAUUCCAGUCAUUUUGGUAAUAACUACUCAGGUAAAACUUAGAGAUAUAAGUUAUAAAUAAUAUUCACUAAUUUUUUAUCAAUCUAAUUUAUAUAUAAAUAAUUUAAUAAAUAAAAUAAUAAUUAUUAAACAUUAAUCAACAUAAAAAAAAAUUAUGAUGGCUAUAAUCAUGAUAAAACAUAAAUCAUACCUUUAUAUAAAAAAAUAAAAUAUUAUUUAAUAAUUUUAAAUAUAUACAUAUGAAGAACUACACAAAUAUCGAAAAAAUUUAAAAUUUAAAUAUCAUAAGUAAAUUUUUUACCAAUAUAUCAUAUGAUAAAACUAUGAAAGAAAAAUAUAAUUUAUGAUUUUUUAUUUAAUAAAUAACCUAAAUGAGAGAAUUAGUCUUAUUUAAGUAAACAUUUCAUAAUUGAGUCAAAAUUAAGCUAUCCAGAUUAGACCCAACAACCAAUCUAAUUAAAUGAAUCAUAAUUAGGUUUAGUCAAAAAUCCAAUUUAGAAACAAAUUGAUCAAAGAUUGGAUUAAAAUUAGGCUUCAAUCAAAAUUUGAUUAAAGCAUGUCAAAUUGGUCAAUUUUAUAGUUGAAGACCUAAGUCAAAAAUACUUAAUUUUGAAAGGAUAAAAUUAUACUUUUGUUAAGAUAUAUAUUGAAUAUAUCUAAUUUCUGAACCUUAGAAGUGUCAAGGUCAAUUUCGAUUGAAAUUAAAAAAUAUAGAAGGGUAAAAUAGUCUUUUAAUAGGUGAAGAAAGGCCUACUGUCACCACGGUGGGUAGUCAUCCGUUGCCUAUGCAUCGUCAACCCGAACUCCCCUCGCAACCAACUAGCGAUCCCUUUUCGUAGUGCCCAUAUCCGCGAAUGACAAGCGAACCCUAACGGUUGCUGUGCAAUCGUUGAGCAACCUACAUUGGUGGCUACUCAAUGGCUGAUGACUUGGCACAGGUACUAGCGACGCAUUGGAGAAAUAUUGCAUCGAUCAUUAUGCUACGCGCUUGAGCCGCUUUGAACCGUGGCCACCACGUAGUGAUCUCCUCAAUGCGAUGACUAUGCUAAUGAUGUAGCACUGCAAGUGGAUUGCCACUGCCAUCCGCAACAAUCGAAAAAAGCCACCAUCGCGCAUUGUUGUGAAGCACAACCACCUAGAUUGCCCAACCAGAGCCGCACACAAGCAUCUUCCCAUGACAUCUCCAUCACACGAUCAUUGUGCGAACCUUCAUCCGUUCAAUCGUGGGCUGCAAACUUGUUUUAUGGUCGCUUACCUCUCUGUGUAUGGCGAUCGUCAGCUCAAAAAGCAUCUUGGCAUUUGUCCGUCCUCUAGUCUAGCGUUGUAUGUAGCAAUGUUGACGUCUGCAUAGUUACUGCCUACGGUUGGGCCGACGACCACAGUUGUUAGCCACCCUUCGUAAUGUCGUCAUUGAUAACAAAUUUCAAUGACAACUAAUCGAUUAAACAUGGAUAGCAUAUUGUCCCGACUCUACCUACAUAAGACAAAAAAUCUUACAUCACCCAUAAGUAGGCGAAAAGACGAAUGAGAUAGAAAAAUAAAUUGAUAACAGAAACGAUUGUUCAAUCAUCAUACAAAUAAAAUCGAAUAACAUUUUUUCACAAGUGAAGGGUUAUUAACAAAUAGUUCUAAAUACAAAAUAGAUAUAAUAUACUUUUAUAAUAUAAUAUAUUUAAUUUUAAAAUAAUAAAUUUGGAUACCAAUUAUAAAGAUAAAAACUAUAAAUAAGAUAUUGUUAUUGCUAAUCAUAGGUGUCCUGCAAGCCAAUCACGUAAGUUAUGGUACGUGUGACAUAAUAUAUACUAUUUUUAUUUAUUAUAUUAUUUAAUAUUUUAUUAUUAUUNNNNNNNNNNNNNNNNNNNNUAUAUAUAUAUAUAUAUAUAUAUAUAUAUAUAUAUAUAUAUAUAUAUAUAUAUAUAUAUAUAUAUAUAGUGAUGUCCAUGGAUCUAUACAAUGAGAAUCAGAUCGUGAUGAGAUCACAAUAACGAGACCGAUUCGUCUUUAAACACAUAUCCUAAAUAAUCUCGAUCAUAGGUUACUCGAUAGGGAUAUCGAGAUAAUCGGACAUAUUAGUAUAUUGUAUACCCGUCCAUAUGAUGGAAGUGACUGGUCUCAUAGCUGCUCGUGUGGGGACAUUAUGAACAUAGUACAUGUGCUCAUUGGAAAAUGAAUUAAUUGGAAUGCUAAGUCUGGUAUCGAAGAGUAGAGUCUAUUUAUAUUAAUCGAGAACUUCCAGACUAAUUCAAUAGGAAUUAAUCGAGAUUGAAAAAACAUCUAGUAUAUUAUCAUAUAAGAGAUAGUGUCUAUUUAUAAAUAACUGCAACAACAGAUAAUAUAGAAUAAAUAAUAAAAAAAAUCACUUUUAUCAAAAUUAUCUCCUGAUUUUUUUUUCUAUUAAUUAAUAACUACAAUCAAGAUAUCUAUAACAUAUUUUAUCUAAUUAAAUUGAACCACAUAAUAACAUUUAUAUCUAACCUAACAUAUGCAGAUCAAGAGAUGCAAUCUAGAAGACUAAAAAAAAAGUCACUAGAGACAAUUACAAGCAAAUCGAGCAAUUAUCACCGUGUCAGCACUAAGGAGAACAAUUAAACGUGCUUAAGGAGACACAACUUGAAUUCCAUUAAAUAAAAAAAAAAGUUCCAAGGAUCGAUUGCUAAGGUCGAAAAUUUUGAACAGAGCAGUGGAGGAAAAGCGUAAAUUGCGCAAAGCCAGCCAUCGAAUACUUGGCGUCCUCUGUUUCGAACCCGAGCUCACACGACGGAGAUCUUCGCCCCGACUUCCUCCAGCUGCUUCUUGGCCUCCUCCGCCUCCUCCUUCGACACGCCCUCCUUGAACUUCUUCGGCAGGCCCUCGAUCAGGUCCUUGGCCUCCUUGAGCGCCAGGUUGGUCAGCGCCCGGACCACCUUGAUGGUGGCGAUCCUGGCGUUGCUCGGGACAUCCUCGAUGACCACGUCGAACUCGGUCUUCUCCUCGACCGCGGCGGGGGCACUGCUCGCCGCGUCGGCGGCGGCUCCCGGGGCGACGGCCACCGCGGCGGGGGCGAAGGCGGCGGCCGAGACGCCGAGGCGGUCCUGGAGGUGGUCGACGAGGCCGCGGGCUUCCUCGAGGGUGAGGUUGCAUAUGAGGUUGCCGACCUCCUCGACCUUGGGGGAGACGGCCGCGGGCGGGCGGAGGAAGGCGGCGCGGCGGUGGGAGCGGAGGGACAAGGGUUGGGAAGGGAACUUGAGUGCCGGGGAGGGGGCGGCAGAGGAGUUGGUGGAGUAGGAGGAGACGAGGAAGAGCGCGGAGGUGAGAGUGGCCGCCAUUUUCCUCUUCUUUCUCCUCGCUUGUGCCUCGAGCGGAAUGGGAUGAGAAAGGCG
rnacentral:lncRNA from 1 species